rnacentral:rRNA from 1 species
CAUGUUCUUGCGGGAACAUAGGAGCCAUCAGUGAGAUACCACUCUUUUAAUGUUAGAUUUCUAACCUUGAACCAUUAUCUGGUCAAGGAACAGUUUCAGGCGGGCAGUUUGACUGGGGCGGUCGCCUCCUAAACGGUAACGGAGGCGUACAAAGGUUUCCUCUGAACGAAUAGAAAUCGUAUCUAGAGUAUAAAGGCAUAAGGAAGCUUGACUGUGAGACCUACAAGUCGAGCAGGGACGAAAGUCGGUCUUAGUGAUCUGACGGUACUGAGUGGAAAGGCCGUCACUCAACGGAUAAAAGUUACUCUAGGGAUAACA